AGAUCUGUUGCUUACAUGCGGGUUCCGAGUGUUGGUGAGGGCCGGGUAGGCGGACAGCGUGUGUAAAUGAAGUGUCGGCCGGUGCGCUUCCGGAGUCGGGGUGGUGAGAUCUUGGCCAUGUCGUGAGCUGUGUUCUAGUUUGACGAAGGUGUAAUACAAGAAAGAAAUCAAAAAUGCUGCAAGUGUGAAAUUUCCAGGACACUAGACACCAAGGAGGAUUUGGAAGAAAAGUUUACAACUUGACUGUGUGAGAGAUAUGGCUGAGUCGGUGCUGAUUACUUCUGUGAUAGACCAAGCCUAUUUGCCAAACUCAAGAGCACAGGUUGGCAACAGAAUGAAGAGUUCCAAUGAUGAACCAGUAGAGUACAGUCCUAGUUCUGCUGUAUUUCGAUCUGCAGCUGCUACUGGAAAGGAGUUGCUUCUGAGCAGGAAGCGACCAUUUGUUGGACGGUGCUGCCAUGUGUGUUCUCCAGUAAGCAGGGAUAAACUUUUCAAUACCAGCAUCCCUUCUCAGGGACUACGGAAUGUGAUUUAUAUUAAUGAAACACACACCAGGUAUCGAGGCUGGCUUGCACGGCGCCUCUGCUAUGUCCUGUUUAUUCAGGAACGGGAUGUGCAUCGUGAUAUGUUUCCAAGGAAUGUGAUUGAGAAUGUUUUGAACAGUGACAGAGUGCAAAAGGCUAUUAUGGAUACGGUAGCUGAAAGAAUGCCUGUGGAAACUCUUGCCCAGCCAGAGCCUAAAGCUGUGAGUAAAGUAAAGAGAAAAGCUCGAGGAAUCCUUCAGCAGAUGGUGGCCAAUAUUUCACCUGUUGUGAUCAGACUAACAGGUUGGGUGCUGCUAAAACUGUUCAAUGGAUUUUUUUGGAGCAUUCAGAUUCACAAAGGGCAGCUGGAAAUGGUUAAAAAAGCUGCAGCAGAGCAGAAUGUCCCGUUGAUCUUUCUGCCAGUUCACAAAUCUCAUAUUGAUUAUCUACUGCUCACUUUCAUUCUGUUCUGUCAUAAUAUCAAAGCACCGCACAUUGCUGCUGGGAAUAAUCUGAAUAUCCCAAUUUUUAGCACUCUCAUAAGAAAACUAGGUGGCUUCUUCAUCCGUCGAAAGUUGGAUAUUGGUGCAGAUGGACGAAAGGAUGUUCUGUAUAGAGCCGUAUUACGCGUGUACAUUGGGGAACUUCUCCGCCAGCGGCAAUUUAUGGAAAUAUUUGUGGAAGGCACACGGUCUCGGAGCGGUAAACCAUACAUGGCCAUGACGGGCCUUCUUUCUAUUGUGGUCGAUAGCCUUUAUGAAAACACUGUUACCGAUGUUAUGAUUAUUCCAGUGGGAAUCUCAUAUGACCGGAUCAUCGAAGGCAAUUACAACAGUGAACAGCUGGGAAAGCCAAAAAAGAAAGAGAGUCUUUGGGGUGUUGCACAAGGAGUCUUCAGAAUGCUUCGUAAAAACUUUGGCUGUGUCCGAGUAGACUUUGGACAGCCUUUUUCUAUUAAGGAGUAUAUCGACGCUCAAAGGAACCGUCCAUUGCCUGCUGCUGUCUCCCUUGAGGAGAUCCUCCUUCCAAAUAUUAUCUCUGAUAGACCAAGCCUUGAUUAUGCUGAUCCUGACCAGGUUCCAAUUGUAAAUGCCAGAGAUUUUUCAGACGAACAAUACAGGCGUCAACUGAUUUCCAAUGUGGCUAAACAUGCAUUAUUCACUGCCAGUAGAUGUUCUGCUGUGAUGUCCACUCACAUUGUUGCAUGUUUGCUGCUUUACAGGCACAGAAAGGGUGUCCAUUUAUCAAAGUUGGUCGAAGAUUUCUUCUGUAUGAAGGAGGUGGUGUUAGCUCGGGAUUUUGAUUUGGGCUUCUCUGGAAAUUCUGAAGAUGUUGUUAUGCAUGCACUGCAUUUAUUGGGAGAAUGUGUCAAUGUCAGAAGCUCCCGUCGCAAUAGUGAGUUCUUUAUUGCUCCAACCACCACAAUUCCAGCUUUGUUUGAGCUGAAUUUCUACAGCAAUGGUAUCUUCCAAGUUUUUCUCACUGAAGCAAUACUUGCCUGCUCUCUGUAUGCUAUUCUGAAGGAGAAGAUCAUAGAACCAGGUCAAAUGGAGCUAACAGUCAGCCAGGAAAGACUUAUUCGCACAGCUGCUAGUUUGUGCCAUCUCCUUUCCAAUGAAGUGACAGUGGCCUUGCCCUGCCAGACUCUCUACCAGGUUUUCCAUGAUGCUGUUGGAAAGUUUAUUCAGUAUGGCAUCCUGAUGGUGGCAGAGGAGGAUCUGAGCCCCAGUCCAACAGAGGAAACAUGGGCUAAUAAAUAUCCAGAUGGUUUAUCAUGGAGAAGUGAUGAAGAGGAUGACAGUGAUUAUGGGGAAGAACAGAGAGAUCGUUAUCUAAAGGUGAGCCAAUCUCAGGAUCAUCAGGAGUUCAUCACCUUCCUACAGAGACUGUUGGGCCCUUUGUUGGAGGCUUACUUUGCAGCUGCUGUUUUUAUUCAAAGCUUUAGAGCUCCAGUUGAAGAAGCUGAAUACAUCAGCAAGUUUCACAAGUAUCUCUUAUCCAGAACAGAAAUGAAGGUUGCAGUAUUUGGUGAGAGUGCCACCUUCUGCCUUGCAAAAAGUGCAGUGAAGACUCUUAAAGAUCUCAGGGUUUUCAAAGUACAGAAGAGUGGGAGCUCUACCUUGGAACUGAGCAACACCUUUCUACCUCUCAUCAAUCGACAGAAAUUGCUGGAGUACAUCCUUAAAUUUACUGUUGUAUAGAAAGUGCUGGACAAGGUGGUGCAAAUGGUGAUUUAUUAAUGUGGACUGAUUAACCAUUUGAAUUGAAAAUUGACAUUUGAAAAUGGAGUUGAAUAUUUCACUUGCUGCAUUUUCUAAUUUGAUUUUUUUCACUUUUACUAAAAAGCAUAUGGCCAGAUGUCUUUCUUACCCAUACAUUUCAAGGUAACAUACCAUUCCACUUGGUAUCACCUAUCUGUGUCUUUUGAUGCGGGUAUAUUGAAAGUGUACUUCCCUAAGAGGUGAUUGCCAUCAUUGCUGCUGACUUGUUGUAUACACUGAUGUUUUAUGGUAGCCCAAGAAACUGUGUAAGUUUGUUUCAUUCUGUUGCUUAUGUAAUUUAUGCUUGUUAGUUAGUUUGAAGAUAUUUUACACUAUUACUGACAAAUUGUGUCAUAGGCCAUAGAUUGUACUAUGAAAUUCAGCAAUAAUGAAUGAGGUAUCAAAUCAUCAAGAUUCUUAGAACACUGGGGAACAUUUUGCCAUGUGAGAAACCCAUUUGCUAAAACGUUUUGUGUGCUAAAACCUAAGUGAUCUACCACUGUGAAUUCUAUUAAGGUUAGACUGUGGGCUUUCCUCACAAAUGUUUUUGUCAGCAUCUGCCAUUCCCCAGACUUCAUAUCAAUACCUUCAAUUUAAUACAAUUGUUUUGUACUUGGGAGUGAACCUGAGUGCUUGUUAUGGACUUAAUGAACCUACACUUUAGCACUAAUCACAUUCUACUGGAAGAUGACCUAUCUUGAAAGAUGGCAGUCUUUAGAAUAAUUUGUAAAUUCUGCGACUGUAAUGUCUGCUGCCCGAUGCACUUUCAAAAGAUAUGUUACUUAAAGUUCAUUUUUUAGAUUCUUGUAUAGGGCCCUGACUCUUCCAGGUAGCCAAUGGUCAUAUUAAAGCUGUUUAUCUUAAUAAAGAUAUUUUCUUCCUUCUUCGACUUGACAACCAUUCCCAUGCAUGGUUCCAGAAUAGGGGGCAGCAUCUGACUUGGUCCCUGCAUUUUGCCAUGCUGCAUGAGACAGCACGAAAUAUGUGAAGAAUAUAUGCCAAGAAAAAUGUGACAAAUUUGUGCAUUUAUAUGACCUCAGCUGCAAGAAGAUGUAAGUGAAUAAUCCAGUUUGAUAUGUGCUUGUCCUUAGUACUACCAUCCCCUAGCUCAUGAGUGUUUCAUCUGUUUCUUUUGCCUCCCCCCUUGUUUCGCCCAGCCUUUAUCAUCACCACCAACUUCAUCCCCUGUCCCAUCACCACCAUUUUUCUAACUCUUCAGUCUGGCCAAAUUGACAUUGGGUACUUGUUGUUUGAGGAUUCGUAAUUACCAAUCUAUGCUCAAUCACGCUGUCCUGCAUAAAUGACUAAUUGCGUUAACACUUAUUUGGUCUAUAUUUUGUGUGUGCUGUUUCUCAAAUUACAGAUUACUUUAGACUUAGUGGAAAAACACAUACUUUGAUUAAAUCCACAGUACUUAGUGACCAAAACAAAAGCCAUAUAACUUCAAAAAGGCCAAAUGUUUACAUUAAUUGUACCUUGGCAAUAAGGUUGUCUUUCCAAUAGUUGUGUCUGUUUAAGAAUACUGUGCAUGGCUACUAAUCUAAAAACAAUUAAGUUCAAAUCCCAGCCUUGAUGGAAUUGUUGUUAACCAAUCAUCACAAUGCCCCUGUCCCAACAUUCAGAUUGCCUUUUGUAUGAUAACCAUGUAUGUGGUGAUGUAGUGAGACAGACAAAUAGGUUUUAAACCAUCCCAAGUUUUUCAAUGUGCAUUUGUUGCUAGUUGGUUAAAGAUCGACCCCGGGUAUGUGUGAAGCCUGCAACAGCAUUACAACCAACAGUUUUUAAAGUAUAGUACCAGAGAAUGGAACCAUUUUGAACUUUGCAUAAUCUUAUUAAAGCAAACACUACAAUAUAGAGUCCAAUUCAUUCCUCUGGUGCACGUCAACCUAAAAUUUACAGUAUAUGCCAGUACUGUGUGUGCGUAAAAUUCUUACAAUCUGCAAUAUUUUGUCUUUUCCAUCUUAAAGGAGAGACUUUCUAACCUGAAGUUUUAUAGUUGCAUUAUCAUCAGUCAGAGAAUUUCAUUUAAGUAAGCUACACUUCCAGCUUGAAACAGUGUAGUGAAUGAAUGGUAAAUCGUGGAAUGGUGGACCACGUCAUUACAGAUAUUUAGUAAGAAAGCACUUCGAUGUCAUUUAUAAAGGCUGGGAUUAGGAGACCACUUUGUUGCUAUGAGAUGUGUAAAUACUAUAAUCCAUUAACACUUUGUACAGUUUAUUUUAUUGUGUAUCUAUUUAUUGAAGAUCUCAGCUAUUCCCUUUUCAUUGAGUUAACAUGAACUCAUGCUGUUUUGAAUCUUGGGAGAAAAGAAGUUAGGCCUUAAUUGUUAAAGUUCCACAUCACAUAGCUGAAUAACUUAAAUCACUCUCGUGGAAAACGUUACCUUUGUGUUCGACCAAAGAUUUUCCACAACCUAGUUGCACUGUAUUUUAGCUUGUAUUUGUUCAGUUUUGUGUAUGUCCAUUUCUAAUAUAUGCAAUAUGUUAGUAUGUUGAAGAAGGGUACAACAUGCUGCAUUAGUUGAUGUUGCGAUUUUAUGAGUGAAUGGCUGCAGAACUGGCAAGUUGAAUUUCUGCCUUGUGUUUCAGUGAGGAUGGAAUUGUACUGUAUGCUUCUGGUGUAUGAUGGGGUUCAAAGAAGAAGCGCAUAUGCUGUAAAUACAAAAUAGAAGCAGAAACAUGAACUGUCUUUUCUCUUUCAGACACUGACUGGCCUGCUGGCAUAUUCCCAGCAGUUUCUAAUUUUGUUCAGGUCAAUCCCUGACAGACUGCUGCAGUUUAUUCUGAUUUGGUGAUGGAAAAGGUUAAUUGAGGAGGUUAGCUGUUUUCUUUCAUUUACGAACUGAUGAUUGAGUGGAAUUGUAUAAAAUAUUGCAAAACUCUAUUUUAAUUUAGUCCAAGGAUAUUGCAAAUUAACAGUAGAUGGAAAUUUGAAUAUAUAAAUAUUGAGGUUGCAGCGUUCUUAGACAGAGAGGACUUGGAUCCUAUCUUGCUACAAGUGCUGCAACCGCAGUAUUCAUUCAGCUCUGUCUAAGCUAUUGCAUGGAAUUGCAUUUUGACUAUCAACAAAUGUCUACCAAGGAGAAUGCACCUUUUUGGUUAUUCUAUUUAUUAGCAGUAGGUAUUUCAUAUACCAAUAAAAAAUAUUUCAGGUCAGUACAAUAUUUUGAAGAGGAUUGACACGAAAGCUCUGAUGUACAAAGCAAAGCUGCUUGUUAGGAAUGUCAACAUUUGGGAAUGUGACACAAAAGGCUAGUUAUUGCUCAGGACACAAUCACUACAGCAGAAGCAAAGAAAGGGCUGGGACUUUCCUUGUGAACAGUUUUGGGCUGUUGUCUGUCUGUAGCUUUCUUUAUAGAGAUGGAAAAAGGGGAAAAUGAGAAAAUGUGUAAGGGCUGAAACUGUUUGACUGUUGUGGCCUUGAGGUUGAAAUGCAAAAUCUUGGAGACAAUUCUUAAAUAUCCCAUGUCUUGUUUGAGGAAAACUGUUUUGCCAUCUCUGUAAAAUAAAAGUUUAUAACAUAGUUUUGUGCUGCUUUCUUCAGUGUUCUGGCCUAGAAGUUACUCAUCAGUAGUUAGUAAAGUCCUCAAUAUGUACCAUAAGUUCUUGCAACACUGUUUUUGGUAAGUCUGUCCAAGCUGAUCUUUUCAGGAUCGAUACACAAGAGAAAAGCUAAUUUGUUUAAUUUUUUAUUAAUGCCUGCUUCUGUUUUCCAUGGACUUCCAUGUGAAAAGCAAAUAAAAAGGGAAAAGUGAACAAAAGCCUUGGCCUGUUAUGUGCUAAAGCACAAAUAGGAGUUUUACUCUGAGCUGACCCUACAGAGUCAACUAACGGUUAGCUAACUUUAGAGGUUUUAGUUAUGUAGAAGGGUUUGGAAAGUUAAAGUAUUUGUUAAAUUAGUGCAGACAAGACUUAACUGUUUCAAACCAGAGCUGAUGAGAUUAGAAUUCUGUGGUGGUGGAUGUGGAGGUUUUUGGUUCUCUGACCUUUUGCAACUUUGGAACCCCUGUACAAGUAAUUUUUAUUACAGAAAUGGUCAUUCCCACAAGGUUUAUGACAACCUUGCACUUUGAUAUCAGAACUCCUCCAUAGUUCAACUGUACGGGUUCCGUUGGUUAGAAAUUAAUAACAAUGGAGCAACAAGCUUAGGAGAGUUGGAAGUAUGGGAACAUAAGAACUGAAAGGGAAAGUAGAUUUUUGUCUGCACAGAGGUUUACUGGAAUAUUUUUAAUGCCCAAAUCAAUAAAGCAGAGACUAUGUCAUUAAAAGUGGAACUGGACGAAUAGUUGAAAAAGACCAAUAUAUGACCAUAGAGGGUUAUGAAGUACAAUCGGAUAGUUCCAGUUGAAGAACUAGCAUUGGUGUGAUGGAUCAAAUGGUCUUUAAUUUGACCUAUACUUCCUGAUUCUGUCAGAAUAAAUGUGAUAAAUUGCAGACCAACUGAUCGAUGCUAAGUUUAAAUGAUUUUGGUUUGUGUUACAAUUUUUCUUCCUGCGUACUGUGAUAACAUUCAAGGUCACUGGCUAUUUUUCUACAAUUAUACUCCAGUAUUGUAUUUUAUCAUAACGUGUACUCAAGCUUGAGAAGAGGUGGUCAAAAUGCAAAUUUUCCACAAGAGCAAGAGAUGCUGAUUUAUGGGCUUGUCUCGAGCCAUUGAUGAGCACUCUCUCAACCAUUUGAAUAUCUAUGUCUCCAGAUGUCAGCGUUAUUGUCUGGCAGGUCAUCCUUUUUGGUUUAGGACACAAGGAAAGAAGGAUUAAAGCGAAGGUUAAUAAUGGAAGCACGUUAAACUGGCUUAGAAAUUUAGCUUGCAGGAAGCUUGGUUGGAGUUACUUUGUUUUAAGUAAAGGCACUUGAUUUAUAUGGGCAAGUGUGGCAUGUUUGUAAUUCUACAUCGUACAAAGAUAAAUUGUACUGAUUGAAAUAAGUGAGCUAAUCAUAACUACUUGUUUGUUCAUUGACUGUGAAAUAAAGCAGGUUAACAAUUCUU